UGCUGAGGGUAUCGAGUUUAUGUGUUCAGUUUACCAACAUCGACUCGUUUCCUCAGCCCC
rnacentral:pre_miRNA from 1 species